UACAGAGGAGCCAAGCGUUGUCCGGAUUGACUGGGCGUAAAGCGCACGCAGGCGGUCGCGCGCGUGGGGUGUGAAAUCUGGCCGCUUAACGGCCAGGCGCCAUCCCAUACGGCGCGACUCGAGCCAUGCAGAGGGCGGUGGAAUUGCCGGUGUAGUGGUGAAAUGCGUAGAGAUCGGCAGGAACACCCAGGGGGGAAACCAGCCGCCUGGGCAUGCGCUGACGCUGAGGUGCGAGAGCGUGGGGAGCGAACCGG
rnacentral:rRNA from 1 species